rnacentral:rRNA from 1 species
ACAGCAGUCGCCGCGGUAAUACCGAGGGUGCGAGCGUUAAUCGGAUUUACUGGGCGUAAAGCGUGCGUAGGCGGCUUUUUAAGUCGGAUGUGAAAUCCCUGAGCUUAACUUAGGAAUUGCAUUCGAUACUGGGAAGCUAGAGUAUGGGAGAGGAUGGUAGAAUUCCAGGUGUAGCGGUGAAAUGCGUAGAGAUCUGGAGGAAUACCGAUGGCGAAGGCAGCCAUCUGGCCUAAUACUGACGCUGAGGUACGAAAGCAUGGGGAGCAAACAGGAUUAGAUACCCCAGUAGUCCCUGUCUCUUAUAC